GACGGAGGAGGCUAGCGUUGUUCGGAAUUACUGGGCGUAAAGCGCGCGCAGGCGGUCCUGCAAGUCAGGGGUGAAAGCCCGGGGCUCAACCUCGGAACUGCCCUUGAGACUGCGGGACUCGAGACCGGGAGAGGAGAGUGGAAUUCCCAGUGUAGAGGUGAAAUUCGUAGAUAUUGGGAAGAACACCAGUGGCGAAGGCGGCUCUCUGGCCCGGUACUGACGCUGAGGCGCGAAAGCGUGGGGAGCGAAACAGGAUUAGAAACCCUAGUAGU
rnacentral:rRNA from 1 species